rnacentral:rRNA from 1 species
GAAGGUAGCGUAAUCACUUGUUCUUUAAAUGGGGACUAGUAUGAAUGGCACCACGAGGGUUAAACUGUCUCCUUUUUUUGAUCAGUGAAACUAAUCUUCCCGUGAAAAAGCGGGGAUUAUUAUAUAAGACGAGAAGACCCUAUGGAGCUUUAAACAAACUAACACCCGCUACCUCUAACUCUCCUUCCGAGUAAAAACAUUAAACAUAGCAUUCUGAUUAUAAGUUUUCGAUUGGGGUGAUCACGGAGCAAAAAAAAACCUCCACGCCGAACGGACUAACCUCCUGAACAAAAAGCCACGACUUUAUGUACUAAUAAAUUAACGUCUUUGACCCAUUACAUGAUCAACGAACCAAGUUACCCUAGGGAUAACAGCGCUAUCUACUUCAAGAGCUCCUAUCGACAAGUGGGUUUACGACCUCGAUGUUGGAUCAGGGUGUCC